AAAAAUUUAGUUAAAUAAUAACAUUAGUUUGUCAAACUAAAAUUAUCUUUGGAUAAUUUUUA
rnacentral:tRNA from 1 species